rnacentral:lncRNA from 1 species
CGGGAAGGCGCCGCGCAGCCCCGGCUGCGGCUUCUUGUUCUUCUCAUCGGGUGCACUUUUCUCCGUCUUUUUGUCCCCUUCGGAAGUGCCCCCCUCUGCUUUGCCCCCCUCCGCCUUCGUGGCCUCGUGUUCCUCAUCCAUCAUCGCGGCCAAAGGAUUCUUUUUGUCAUCGCUCCCUUUCUUGCGCUCCUUAUUGGCCAUAAUGACGCCCGUCCGCAGCGUCUCGAAGACGGGGUCACUCCUGUUGGCCAUGUCUUUGCCGCCCGCCUGCUGCUGGUCGCUGUAUAGGGGGGAGCUGUACGCACGGCGGAACCCUGGGGGGAUUUUGCCGAAGCAGCGCUGCAGCUGCACGUAGCGCCGGCAGUGGUGGUGGAUGUGCGUUUUGCAGUUUUUGCACCUCAGCCCGAAUUUGUUGUUCAAGACGAUCAUUCGGGCGCAGACGUCGCAGAAUU